GCACGAGCUCUCACACACCUGGUCAGCAGGUGCCUUCUGGAUAUUUCUGAUAAGAGGCUGAAUAACUGUCUCAUCGUAAUGAUCUCCUAACUGCCGGAGCUGAUUGGCUAUCUUUAUUGGGUCGAAGUCGUCUGGUUAUGGCUAUAUUUCAUGUUGAGGAACAUUCUCAAGACAAGAUGAACCCACCACUCUGACGGAUCCUCACUUACACUGCUUUCUUUGUAAUGCCACCAUGAACAUCAUCUGAGACGGCAGAGCUGGACUUAUAACAUCACACAGGAGCUAACCAUGUGUUGUUCAAUACCACUGGGCUGCUGAUCUGACAUCUCAAGGCCACUCAAGUCCAACCUGGCAAUUCAUGUCUUCAUGGACCGUGCUUUGUGCACAGGAGCUCUGUCAUGCUGGAACCGGACAGUUCCCAUGUGGAGAAAUUGUAAUGCUACUGCAUACAAAGAUAAUGCAAGAUUUUAUAUCAUAUAUCAUGUGAGAUACUUGUAUUUUCUAUUAUUAAUAUUGGCUAUACUCAAUUUGUAUGUCACCAACAAAGAAAACCGUUUUAAAUGACAAAACAAUCUGUAAAUUUAUGGGGUUGUUUAUGGAAGGAAACCAUCCACAUUGAUAAAUAGAGCCACAACAGUUAGGCCAGUAUCUUUAUCUCAAAGACAUAAGAAUCAAAAAUCUAUAGACAAAGUUGAGUUUUCUCACUUGCCAGAACUUCAAUAGGGAAAAGGCUUGAAGUUCAUUUAGCUGAAUUGUAAAUGUUGCUGAUUAGAUUCAGUAGACAGAUUAGUAUAUAUACUGUAUGUAUCAUUAAUGGACAUUGAAACCCUUGUCUGUUUUUUUUACGUUAACUGUCUCUUAUCUGCUUACUAUCUACUAGACAUUUUUAAACAUCUACAUUCCUUGUGCAGAACCAUCAAAAGCAGUCUUGUCAAGGAUGCUGUCUAGUUGAUUGAAGGUGACCCCUUUUUUGCUCUUUCUAGAAUAUCAGAUUGAACAAGCACUUAAAAGCACUGGAGCCAUUUUGAAAAAAAAAGAAAAAAUAUGCCAUGCAUUAUCCAGGCUGAGUGGUUCCCUCAAAAAAUAUUGGCAAAAUAAAUCUGUCUGGAGAAGGCGUACGCUGCGCACUCACGCUGCUUUGCGCUCAUUCUUUCAGAGACAUGACAGUAAGGAACGCCCCGUCUACCCGGGUGAAAUUGACGAGCCUGUAAGACAUUGCUUAUCCAGGCACUGUUUUGUUUUUUUUAGAUCUGGUUGUCCUGUUUUGACAUGUGACAGGACAGAAGGAUAAGUAGCCAGAUGUUUAUGUCUCAAAUUAAACUACAUAGUGAUUGUCAAUCUCUAUUAAGUAGUUUUUGAAUCAACAUAGUUAAUGUAAAUGUGUAAUUACAAAGCAGUUUAGUAGUGAGUUUUAUAACAGUGACUGGAAUCCUGGGAUCCACAGGUCUGUCACUGAGCCACCCUUAAGCUCAGGUGUACUUGUGGACUUUCAAACACUUCGGGCACUGACGUCACCGUUACACAUGAUUCUGAACUUGGACUUUGUAUUUUGGACCUUGGAGUGUAUUUUUCCUUCACAUUAUCUGCUUGAGCUCCUGUCGGUCUGACAGCGUGAUGUAACCACAAUAUUUAAAACUGGAAAUUAUGUUUUGUUCUAAAUGUUUUGCACAAAAAGCCUAAUGGGCAUGUUGUUUUGCCCAGAGGACAACUCACUGCUCAAUUACAACUGGCAUUAUUUCUUAAUUGGACUGUACAAAAUGGAAAAUAAAAAGCGCAAUAAAAAUAGUCUAUAACCAGUGCAUACUGUACAUUGGGAUUGUACUGUUAGUCUAUGAUAUUUAAAAAAAAAAAAAAGGUAAAUAAUAAGAUGUGCUACAGUAGAUCAAGUGUUGUUUUACACACAUCUGAAUAAUGAAUGUGGAAGCCAUAUUAUUACAAACGUUCAUUUGCUAAGUACAUCUAGGGCUAUACUGGUGACAAUUAUAUUGGCAAUAAACACAAUUAUUAGUUGUUGAUUUUAAUGCUUGAUAUAUUAUUCCUCAUCGUAUUAGUAUUUUAUUUUUCAUUAAAAAAAAUGAUGUUUGCUUUCAGGUUUAAAGGCAAGUGACUGUAGUGGUCUAGACACCGUUUUGAACACCCCGACUUGGAAAAAAAAGAAAAUAAACCUGGCAGCCUUGGAGGACUGAACUGUAAACACCCGUUGACUCUUACAUGCCAGAUAACAUCAUGAAUGAUGCACAUAGAAAAUCAGCUUCAGCAUGUGUGCAACCUGUCUCUGAGUACGAGUAACGUUCCUCAAAUACAUAUUGAAAUAAACUUAUAUAAAAAUAAA